rnacentral:rRNA from 1 species
AUGGUCCACAUAUCAGAUAUUAAACUGAUAAGAACAGAUACUACACUUGAUCUUAGCCAAAAGGCCGAGAAAGGUAUGAGUUGUAGCGGCUGCCCUGCCCCUCUAUUUGUAGCCUCCUCGCCCUCCCGUGCCCUCCUCGCUGGGCGAGGUGGGACUAAACGAGUUGCUCCUCGCGCCUGCGGAGUGCGGACGGUGCAUUGCCCCCGAGCCAACCGCUUUGCAUGGGCCGCCUUUUGCUGA